AUUUUCCAUUCGCUGAGUUCCAAAUGUGGGAACGGGGGAACCACUGCAAACUUAAUGAGCAUUCCAAUGCGGUUAAGUAAGCAGAGAGUAACAGGGGUGAAUCAUAGACGUCAAACAAGCAGUUUGCGUCUACGUAGGGCGACUCUCACGUCCGAAUCCGUCAGCUAACCUCGUAAGCGUAAGAGAGGUAACGA
rnacentral:sRNA from 2 species